rnacentral:rRNA from 1 species
AACUGGUGAGUAACACGUGGGAAACCUGCCCCCCAUCGGGGGAUAACACCUGGAAACAGAUGCUAAUACCGCAUAACAACUUGGACCGCAUGGUCCGAGUUUGAAAGAUGGCUUCGGCUAUCACUUUUGGAUGGUCCCGCGGCGUAUUAGCUAGAUGGUGGGGUAACGGCUCACCAUGGCAAUGAUACGUAGCCGACCUGAGAGGGUAAUCGGCCACAUUGGGACUGAGACACGGCCCAAACUCCUACGGGAGGCAGCAGUAGGGAAUCUUCCACAAUGGACGAAAGUCUGAUGGAGCAACGCCGCGUGAGUGAAGAAGGGUUUCGGCUCGUAAAACUCUGUUGUUAAAGAAGAACAUAUCUGAGAGUAACUGUUCAGGUAUUGACGGUAUUUAACCAGAAAGCCACGGCUAACUACGUGCCAGCAGCCGCGGUAAUACGUAGGUGGCAAGCGUUGUCCGGAUUUAUUGGGCGUAAAGCGAGCGCAGGCGGUUUUUUAAGUCUGAUGUGAAAGCCUUCGGCUCAACCGAAGAAGUGCAUUGGAAACUGGGAAACUUGAGUGCAGAAGAGGACAGUGGAACUCCAUGUGUAGCGGUGAAAUGCGUAGAUAUAUGGAAGAACACCAGUGGCGAAGGCGGCUGUCUGGUCUGUAACUGACGCUGAGGCUCGAAAGUAUGGGUAGCAAACAGGAUUAGAUACCCUGGUAGUCCAUACCGUAAACGAUGAAUGCUAAGUGUUGGAGGGUUUCCGCCCUUCAGUGCUGCAGC